AAAUGAAUAGACGGGGGCCCGCACAAGCAGUGGAGCAUGUGGUUUAAUUCGAUGCAACGCGAAGAACCUUACCCAGGCUUGACAUAUAGAGGACGGCAUUAGAGAUAGUGCUUCCGCAAGGCCUCUAUACAGGUGCUGCAUGGCUGUCGUCAGCUCGUGCCGUGAGGUGUUGGGUUAAGUCCCGCAACGAGCGCAACCCUCGUCGCUAGUUACCAACAUGUAAUGAUGGGGACUCUAGCGAGACUGCCUAGGUUAACUAGGAGGAAGGUGAGGAUGACGUCAAGUCCGCAUGGCCUUUAUGUCUGGGGCUACACACGUGCUACAAUGGUCGGUACAGAAGGCAGCGAAGCCGAAAGGUGGAGCAAAUCCUCAAAGCCGAUCCCAGUUCGAAUAGAAGUCUGCAACUCGACUUCUUGAAGUUGGAAUUGCUAGUAAUGACGUGUCAGCAAUAACGUCGUGAAUACGUUCCCGGGCCUUGUACACACCGCCCGU
rnacentral:rRNA from 1 species